rnacentral:rRNA from 1 species
UGCAAGUCGAACGGCAGCACGGGAGCUUGCUCCUGGUGGCGAGUGGCGAACGGGUGAGUAAUAUAUCGGAACGUGCCCUAGAGUGGGGGAUAACUAGUCGAAAGAUUAGCUAAUACCGCAUACGAUCUAAGGAUGAAAGUGGGGGAUCGCAAGACCUCAUGCUCGUGGAGCGGCCGAUAUCUGAUUAGCUAGUUGGUGAGGUAAAGGCUCACCAAGGCGACGAUCAGUAGCUGGUCUGAGAGGACGACCAGCCACACUGGAACUGAGACACGGUCCAGACUCCUACGGGAGGCAGCAGUGGGGAAUUUUGGACAAUGGGCGAAAGCCUGAUCCAGCAAUGCCGCGUGAGUGAAGAAGGCCUUCGGGUUGUAAAGCUCUUUUGUCAGGGAAGAAACGGUAGAGGCUAAUAUCCUUUACUAAUGACGGUACCUGAAGAAUAAGCACCGGCUAACUACGUGCCAGCAGCCGCGGUAAUACGUAGGGUGCAAGCGUUAAUCGGAAUUACUGGGCGUAAAGCGUGCGCAGGCGGUUGUGCAAGACAGAUGUGAAAUCCCCGGGCUCAACCUGGGAAUUGCAUUUGUGACUGCACAGCUAGAGUGUGUCAGAGGGGGGUAGAAUUCCACGUGUAGCAGUGAAAUGCGUAGAUAUGUGGAGGAAUACCGAUGGCGAAGGCAGCCCCCUGGGAUAACACUGACGCUCAUGCACGAAAGCGUGGGGAGCAAACAGGAUUAGAUACCCUGGUAGUCCACGCCCUAAACGAUGUCUACUAGUUGUCGGGUCUUAAUUGACUUGGUAACGCAGCUAACGCGUGAAGUAGACCGCCUGGGGAGUACGGUCGCAAGAUUAAAACUCAAAGGAAUUGACGGGGACCCGCACAAGCGGUGGAUGAUGUGGAUUAAUUCGAUGCAACGCGAAAAACCUUACCUACCCUUGACAUGGUCGGAAUCCUGAAGAGAUUUAGGAGUGCUCGAAAGAGAACCGACACACAGGUGCUGCAUGGCUGUCGUCAGCUCGUGUCGUGAGAUGUUGGGUUAAGUCCCGCAACGAGCGCAACCCUUGUCAUUAGUUGCUACGAAAGGGCACUCUAAUGAGACUGCCGGUGACAAACCGGAGGAAGGUGGGGAUGACGUCAAGUCCUCAUGGCCCUUAUGGGUAGGGCUUCACACGUCAUACAAUGGUACAUACAGAGGGCCGCCAACCCGCGAGGGGGAGCUAAUCCCAGAAAGUGUAUCGUAGUCCGGAUUGUAGUCUGCAACUCGACUACAUGAAGUUGGAAUCGCUAGUAAUCGCGGAUCAGCAUGUCGCGGUGAAUACGUUCCCGGGUCUUGUACACACCGCCCGUCACACCAUGGGAGCGGGUUCUGCCAGAAGUAGUUAGCCUAACCGUAAGGAGGGCGAU